rnacentral:rRNA from 1 species
CCCUCCCUUUGUACACACCGCCCGUCGUUACUACCGAUUGAAUGACUUAGUGAAGCCUUUGGACGUGCGAUUGAUGAGGGCGACCUCUGCCGUUGUACGAAAAUUGGAUGAACUUGGCCAUUUAGAGGAAGUACAAGUCGUAACAAGGUUUCCGUAGGUGAACCUUCGGAAGGAUCAUUAUAGAUUUAUUGAUACUUUGUGAAACAAAUGAUAAGCUUUAUGCGAAAUACUUUUUAUUAAUUUAGUCUAAUACGAAAAAAAUCAAAACCUUUAACAAUGGAUCUCUUGGUUCUCGUAUCGAUGAAGAACGCAGCAAAGCGCGAUAGAUAAUGUGAAUUGCAGACGUGAAUCAUUGAGUUUUUGAACGCACAUUGCACCUCUUUGGAGGUAUACUUGUGUGAGCGUCAUUUUUUCUCCACAUAUAUAUUAGUGGGUAAUGGUUCACUAUAUGGACUGAAAAAGAUUAUACACAGUUGUUAGACACAAGCUGUGGAAAAUUAUCAAAUUUUGACCUCAUAUCAAGUAAGAUCACCCGCUGAACUUAAGCAUAUCAAUAAGCGGAGGAAAAGAAACCAACAGGGAUUCCCUUAGUAACGGCGAGUGAACCGGGAAAAGCUCAAAUUUGAAAUCUGCCAACAGGCCGAGUUGUAAUUUGUAGAUGGCUACACUGCAUAAUAGUAGAUGCUCAAGUUCUUUGGAAAAAGACAUCAUGGAGGGUGACAAUCCCGUGAGGCAUGUUACUAGGAGCAUAUAGUGGGCUUUCUAAGAGUCGAGUUGUUUGGGAAUGCAGCUCAAAGUGCGUGGUGAAUACCAUGUAAAGCUAAAUAUGGACGAGAGACCGAUAGCGAACAAGUACUGUGAAGGAAAGAUGAAAAGCACUCCGAAAGGAGAGUGAAAUAGUACGUGAAAUUGUUAAAGUGGAAGGGCUUGAGAUCAGAAUUGGUAGUUUGGGUUCCACGUCCUCUUGGGGGCGUGUACUCCCUUUCCACCGGGCCAGCGGGAGUUUCGUCUCUUGGGUAAAAGCAGUGGAAUGUAGCAGCUUGUCUGUAUUAUAGCCUCUGUUCAUACAAGACGUCGAGA